UCCGUUAUGGUCUAGUGGCUAGGAUUUGUCGCUCUCACGAAUUGUUCCAAAGAACAAUCGAAGCGCCGACAAGGCCGGGGUUCAAUUCCCCGUGACGGAA